rnacentral:rRNA from 1 species
UAAUACGUAGGGUGCGAGCGUUAAUCGGAAUUACUGGGCGUAAAGCGUGCGCAGGCGGUUGUGUAAGACAGGUGUGAAAUCCCCGGGCUUAACCUGGGAACUGCGCUUGUGACUGCACGGCUAGAGUACGGCAGAGGGGGGUGGAAUUCCUGGUGUAGCAGUGAAAUGCGUAGAUAUCAGGAGGAACACCGAUGGCGAAGGCAGCCCCCUGGGCCUGUACUGACGCUCAUGCACGAAAGCGUGGGGAGCAAACAGGAUUAGAUACCCUGGUAGUCCACGCCCUAAACGAUGUCAACUAGUUGUUCGUAGAGGUAACUCUGUGAGUAACGCAGCUAACGCGUGAAGUUGACCGCCUGGGGAGUACGGCCGCAAGGUUA